GACGAACGCUGGCGGCGUGCUUAACACAUGCAAGUCGAACGGUAAGGCCUUUCGGGGUCAUACGAGUGGCGAACGGGUGAGUAACACGUGAGCAACCUGCCCUUGACUUCGGAAUACCAGCUGGAAACAGCUGCUAAUACCGGAUAUGACCCUGGUCCUCCUGGACCGGGGUGGAAAGCUCCGGCGGUCAGGGAUGGGCUCGCGGCCUAUCAGCUUGUUGGUGAGGUAAUGGCUCACCAAGGCUUCGACGGGUAGCCGGCCUGAGAGGGCGACCGGCCACACUGGGACUGAGAUACGGCCCAGACUCCUACGGGAGGCAGCAGUGGGGAAUAUUGCACAAUGGGCGCAAGCCUGAUGCAGCAACGCCGCGUGCGGGAUGACGGCCUUCGGGUUGUAAACCGCUUUCAGUAGGGACGAAGCCACAAGUGACGGUACCUACAGAAGAAGGACCAGCUAACUACGUGCCAGCAGCCGCGGUGAUACGUAGGGUCCGAGCGUUGUCCGGAAUUAUUGGGCGUAAAGGGCUUGUAGGGCGGUCCGUCGCGUCAGGAGUGAAAACUCGGGGCUUAACCCCGAGCCUGCUUUUGAUACGGGCGGACUAGAGGGAUGCAGGGGAGAACGGAAUUCCUGGUGGAGCGGUGGAAUGCGCAGAUAUCAUGAGGAACACCGGUGGCGAAGGCGGUUCUCUGGGCAUCACCUGACGCUGAGAAGCGAAAGCGUGGGGAGCAAACAGGCUAGAAUACCCUGGUAGUCCACGCCGUAAACGGUGGGCACUAGGUGUGGGGGACAUUCCACGUUCUCCGUGCCGAAGCUAACGCAUUAAGUGCCCCGCCUGGGGAGUACGGCCGCAAGGCUAAAACUCAAAGGAAUUGACGGGGGCCCGCACAAGCGGCGGAGCAUGCGGAUUAAUUCGAUGCAACGCGAAGAACCUUACCUGGGUUUGACAUACACCGGAAAGCUGCAGAGAUGUAGCCCCCGCAAGGUCGGUGUACAGGUGGUGCAUGGCUGUCGUCAGCUCGUGUCGUGAGAUGUUGGGUUAAGUCCCGCAACGAGCGCAACCCUCGUUCUAUGUUGCCAGCACGUCAUGGUGGGGACUCAUAGGAGACUGCCGGGGUCAACUCGGAGGAAGGUGGGGAUGACGUCAAGUCAUCAUGCCCCUUAAGUCCAGGGCUUCACGCAUGCUACAAUGGCCGGUACAAAGGGCUGCGAUACCGCAAGGUGGAGCGAAUCCCAAAAAGCCGGUCUCAGUUCGGAUUGGGGUCUGCAACUCGACCCCAUGAAGUCGGAGUCGCUAGUAAUCGCAGAUCAGCAACGCUGCGGUGAAUACGUUCCCGGGCCU
rnacentral:rRNA from 1 species